CGCUGUGGCGUAGUGGAUAUGGUGUCCGCCUAUGGACCGGGAGGUCAUGGGUUCCAUCCCCAUGGUGG
rnacentral:tRNA from 1 species